rnacentral:rRNA from 1 species
AUUGAACGCUGGCGGCAUGCUUUACACAUGCAAGUCGAACGGUAACAGGGAGCUUGCUCCGCUGUCGAGUGGCGAACGGGUGAGUAAUGCGUCGGAACGUGCCGAGUAGUGGGGGAUAACGCAGCGAAAGUUGUGCUAAUACCGCAUACGUACUGAGGUAGAAAGUGGGGGACCUUCGGGCCUCACGCUAUUCGAGCGGCCGACGUCUGAUUAGCUAGUAGGUGAGGUAAAGGCUCACCUAGGCGACGAUCAGUAGCGGGUCUGAGAGGAUGAUCCGCCACACUGGGACUGAGACACGGCCCAGACUCCUACGGGAGGCAGCAGUGGGGAAUUUUGGACAAUGGGCGAAAGCCUGAUCCAGCCAUGCCGCGUGUCUGAAGAAGGCCUUCGGGUUGUAAAGGACUUUUGUCGGGGAGGAAAUCCCCAGCGCUAAUACCGCUGGGGGAUGACAGUACCUGAAGAAUAAGCAUCGGCUAACUCCGUGCCAGCCGCCGCAGUAAUAC